rnacentral:misc_RNA from 1 species
GGCGCGAAGCGCUCCCCGGAGGCUG